rnacentral:piRNA from 3 species
UCUCGGAAGCUAAGCAGGGUCGGG